CGUGGCGGCAGACUCGGUAGAAGCCCCUGCCAUGCGCUGUUUUCUCAGUGGAGUAGGAGGCGAGGUCAUCAGCUAAGAGGAUGGGGAGAAGGCGCUGGGAAAGGCGCUGGGGAGAGGUCUGGGAAAAAGAAAAGUUUGAAAUUCUCAUCUAGAAAAGUGGAAGGGUGAAUCGAUUCGUGGAGUACAUGACAACUGCCCCGGGGCAUCGAAGGCCCAUUUGAGAUUUGUGGUCAUGAAUUUAAGAUAAUAUCAUCCUUGUGAAACCUAAGGCUGGUCUUUGAGAUCUCUUCCCCAAGGAACCAACUCCAUUGGUCUCGCAAGCUGGGAACUGACUCAGCACAAGAAGACAAUUUCUGCUUCUUGGCCCUAUGAGUUCAUCCCCAGCGGACCCAACUGCCUACCCCUUUGCCUGCCAACCCAUCUUAAAAAACCUUUCUCUUGAUCCUCAGGAAGACAGAUUUUAGAAAUUCUUCUCAUCUCCUCAUGUGGCACCUACAGUGUUAAACUCAUCUCCACCGAAACACCUGCUGUACCCCCUGCAUCUCAGUGUUUUGGCUUCCUCUUGAGCAGCAGGCAAUGACCCUGGUUGGGCUGCAACACUGACUGUAUCUUUAAGAGGCACCUCAGUUUAACCUUUAAAAUAGUCUCUUGUGCCAAGCCGGGUUGCCUUGGGUUUGAAUCUCAGAACUGCCACUUAUCAGUUGUAUGACCUCGGACAAGUUCUUUAACCUCUCUGUGCCUCGGUUUCGUAAUCAUUAAAAUCAGGUACCAACAGGACAAGGUCAUUGUUAGCAUUAAACGAAUUAAUAGAUAUAAAGUACCUGGAAGAGUGCCAAGCACACAGUCAGCAUCAGCAGUUAUUGUCGCUAUUAGAACUAGUCCCUCCCGAGCUUGCCUAGAUGCAGAGGUUGGAGCUGCAGUCCCCGGUGUGCCCAGCAGGGUGCGCUCUGCACCCCAGUGGCACAGCCUCACUGCCGGCUCCACUGGACGCCAACUGCCUGGAAUCCACUUACUGGAUCCCAUUGGACCAAUGAGGGCUUCCAUCUCUUCACAGGCUCCGUCUUCACCUUUCUAACCUACCUGGCCUGAUGACUCCUGGAAGGCCUCUCUGCUGGCACCGCUGACAAGCAGAAGAAAGUGAGAGGAGGGACAGACGUGUGUGGAUGAACCAUCAGGCAGGCCGUUUGAUGACACCUCACUUUUGGAUCCUGGAAGCUCUGCAGCUGGGAAGAGGGGUUGGUCCCCCAGCAGAGCUACUGCACGAGAUGUCCGCUGGCUGUGGGGACCCUGCUACCUCCCUCAGGGCCACCUCCAGGAACAGGAUGCAUGAACUGGGCAGGCGUGCAGGGCAGCUGGGCACGGCUGCAGUGGAGGCUGAGCCAGGGGCAUAUCUGGUCUCCUUCCUGUCUUGAAUUGGCCCCACAAGGAACCAGCACCUCCUACCCCAAUUCUGCCCUACAAGAGCACCACACAUAAAAUUACAGAGGAGGCAAGUUGGUGCAUCCCCAA